GACGAACGCUGGCGGCGUGCUUAACACAUGCAAGUCGAACGGAAAGGCCCUGCUUUUGUGGGGUGCUCGAGUGGCGAACUGGUUAGUAACACGUGAGUAUCCUCCCCUUGACUUUGUGAUAACUUCAGGAAACUGGGGCUAAUACCGGAUAGGAGCUCCUGCUGCAUGGUGGGGGUUGGAAAUUUUCGGCGGUUGGGGAUGGACUCGCGGCUUAUCAGCUUGUUGGUGGGGUAGUGGCUUGCCAAGGCUUUGACGGGUAGCCGGCCUGAGAGGGUGACCGGCCACAUUGGGACUGAGAUACGGCCCAGACUCCUACGGGAGGCAGCAGUGGGGAAUAUUGCACAAUGGGCGGAAGCCUGAUGCAGCAACGCCGCGUGCGGGAUGACGGCCUUCGGGUUGUAAACCGCUUUCGCCUGUGACGAAGCGUGAGUGACGGUAAUGGGUAAGGAAGCACCGGCUAACUACGUG
rnacentral:rRNA from 1 species